ACUGUGUUUUAUGAAUUAUGAUUUUGGCACCCUUUUGAACAUUAUUCAAGGUCCUUUUAAGUGAUAUGAAGUAACUUAGGAUUUUAUUGGCUACGGUAAUAAGUUAUUAUAACAAAAAUAUAAGUGUAAUAAAGAAAACACUAUGCCGAUAACUGCAACAAUGGAAUUGACAUCAAGCAUGUCUUUAUUUAUGGAUAGAAAGGAUCACAGCAUCGACAGCCAUUUCCGAUGGAAUAGCAUAAAGAAAUUUAUUUACUUGGCGUGCACUUAUUCCACGUGCCUGUAUAAUUUCGACAUAUUUUCAAAGGUGUGCG